UCGAGGAUCUUCGGCAAUGGGCGCAAGCCUGACCGAGCGACGCCGCGUGCGGGAUGAAGGCCUUCGGGUUGUAAACCGCUGUCGUAGAGGAGGAAAUGCAGGGGGGUUCUCCCCUCUGUUUGACCUAUUCUAGGAGGAAGGACGGGCUAAGUUCGUGCCAGCAGCCGCGGUAAGACGAACCGUCCAAACGUUACUCGGAAUUACUGGGCUUAAAGGGUGCGUAGGCUGCGCGGAAAGUUGGGUGUGAAAGCCCUCAGCUCAACUGGGGAAUUGCACUCAAAACUACCGUGCUCGAGGGAGACAGAGGUAAGCGGAACUCAAGGUGGAGCGGUGAAAUGCGUUGAUAUCUUGAGGAACACCGGUGGCGAAAGCGGCUUACUGGGUCUCUUCUGACGCUGAGGCACGAAAGCUAAGGUAGCAAACGGG
rnacentral:rRNA from 1 species